rnacentral:rRNA from 1 species
AGAGUUUGAUCCUGGCUCAGAAUCAACGCUGGCGGCGUGCCUAACACAUGCAAGUCGCACGAGAAAGGGUAGCAAUACCUGAGUAAAGUGGCGCACGGGUGAGUAACACGUGAAUUAUCUACCUCCGAGUGGGGAAUAACUGAGAGAAAUCUUAGCUAAUACCGCAUAACACUUACGAGUCAAAGCAGCAAUGCGCUUGGAGAGGAGUUCGCGGCAGAUUAGUUAGUUGGCGGGGUAAUGGCCCACCAAGACGAUGAUCUGUAUCCGGCCUGAGAGGGCGCACGGACACACUGGAACUGAAACACGGUCCAGACUCCUACGGGAGGCAGCAGUGGGGAAUUUUGCGCAAUGGGGGAAACCCUGACGCAGCAACGCCGCGUGGAGGAUGAAAUAUCUUGGUAUGUAAACUCCUUUCGAUGGGGAAGAUUAUGACGGUACCCAUAGAAGAAGCCCCGGCUAACUUCGUGCCAGCAGCCGCGGUAAUACGAGGGGGGCAAGCGUUGUUCGGAUUUAUUGGGCGUAAAGGGUGCGUAGGCGGUUUGAUAAGUCUGGUGUGAAAUCUAUGGGCUCAACCCAUAGUCUGCACUAGAAACUGUCGGGCUUGAGUAUGGGAGAGGUGAGUGGAAUUUCCGGUGUAGCGGUGAAAUGCGUAGAUAUCGGAAGGAACACCUGUGGCGAAAGCGGCUCACUGGACCAUAACUGACGCUGAUGCACGAAAGCUAGGGGAGCAAACAGGAUUAGAUACCCUGGUAGUCCUAGCCCUAAACGAUGAUUGUUUGAUGUGGCAGGUACCCAAUCCUGCCGUGUCGAAGCUAACGCGAUAAACAAUCCGCCUGGGGAGUACGGUCGCAAGGCUGAAACUCAAAGGAAUUGACGGGGGCCCGCACAAGCGGUGGAGCAUGUGGUUUAAUUCGACGCAACGCGAAGACCUUACCUGGGCUCGAAAUGUAGUGGAAUCCGGCAGAAACGUCGGCGUCUAGCAUAGACCGCUAUAUAGGUGCUGCAUGGCUGUCGUCAGCCUCGUGUC